rnacentral:rRNA from 1 species
UGUACGAGAUGCUACGGCAUCGAAGCAGUCUAUGUCAUACUUCCAAGAAAAGCUUGCACUGUCAUAAACAAAGAAUGCCUGUACCAUAACCGACACAGGUGGGUAGGUAGAGUAUACUAAGGGGCGCGAGAUAACUCUCUCUAAGGAACUCGGCUAAAUGACUCCGUAACUUCGGGAGAAGGAGUGCCUUAUUUCUAAGGUUGCAAUAACAAGAUCCAAGCAACUGUUUACCAAAAACACAGGUCUCCGCUAAGUCGUAAGACGAUGUAUGGGGGCUGACGCCUGCCCAGUGCCAGAAGGUUAAAGAAGUUGGUUAGCAUUAGCGAAGCUGAUAACUGAAGCCCUGGUGAACGGCGGCCGUAACGAUAACGGUCCUAAGGUAGCGAAAUUCCUUGUCGGGUAAGUUCCGACCCGCACGAAAGGCGUAAUGAUUUGGAUACUGUCUCGGAGAGGGGCUCGGUGAAAUAGACUUGUCUGUGAAGAUGCGGACUACCUGCACCUGGACAGAAAGACCCUAUGAAGCUUUACUGUAACUUGAGAUUGAAAUUGGACUUUACUUGCGCAGUAUAGGUGGGAGGCGUUGAGAAUAAUCUUGCGGGACUGUUGGAGCCAUCAGUGAGAUACCACUCUUGUAAUGUUAGAUUUCUAACUUUGUAUCAUUAUCUGGUCAAAGAACAGUUUCAGGCGGGCAGUUUGACUGGGGCGGUCGCCUCCCAAAGGGUAACGGAGGCGCACAAAGGUUUCCUCUGAACGGGUAGAAAUCGUAUCUAGAGUGUAAAGGCAUAAGGAAGCUUGACUGUGAGACCUACAAGUCGAGCAGGGACGAAAGUCGGUCUUAGUGAUCUGACGGUGCUGAGUGGAAAGGCCGUCACUCAACGGAUAAAAGUUACUCUAGGAUAACAGGCUGAUCUCCCCCAAGAGUUCACAUCGACGGGGAGGUUUGGCACCUCGAUGUCGGCUCAUCGCAUCCUGGGGCGGUAGUCCGUCCCAAGGGUUGGGCUGUUCGCCCAUGAAAGCGGUACGCGAGCUGGGUUCAGAACGUCGUGAGACAGUUCGGUCCAUAUCCGGUGUAGGCGUUAGAAUAUUGAGAGGAGCCUUCUCUAGUACGAGAGGACCGAGAAGGACAUACCUCUGGUGUACCAGUUAUCGUGCCAACGGUAAACGCUGGGUAGCUAUGUAUGGAGUGGAUAACCGCUGAAAGCAUCUAAGUGGGAAGCCCACCUCAAGAUAAG